CACCUGAUGAUUUGGGGCAAUGACGCAGCUAGUGGGGUACUAACCAAGUCGCGUCUAUUGCUGGUUGAAAACUAUUUCCAAACCCCUCUUAGGCUUGGGGUCUCCUGAAGCCUUUUAGAAUUUUCGGAAGGACUUUCUUUGGGGUAAAAUCCUAAGUU